UUUCCGUAGGUGAACCUGCGGAAGGAUCAUUACAAAUUACUUCUGGCGGUCCAAGACCCCAAAGUAUACCCUGUUUACCUGUAUUAUUGUUGCUCCUUGGGCGGUCUUCCGCCCAUGGAUGCCCUUCAAACCCCUUUGUAAUAGCCGUAACGUCAGAUUUAAAUCCAAUUAUUACAACUUUCAACAAUGGAUCUCUUGGUUCUGGCAUCGAUGAAGAACGCAGC
rnacentral:misc_RNA from 1 species